GACGAACGCUGGCGGCGUGCUUAACACAUGCAAGUCGAACGGAAAGGCCCUGCUUUUGUGUGGUGCUCGCGUGGCGCACGGGUGAGUAACCCGUGAGUCACCUUCCCUUGACUUUGGGAUAACUUCAGGAAACUGGUGCUAAUACCGGAUACGAGCUCCUGCUGCAUGGUGGGGGUUGGAAAGUUUCGGCGGUUGGGGAUGGACUCGCGGCUUAUCAGCUUGUUGGUGGGGUAGUGGCUUACCAAGGCUGUGUCGGGUAGCCGGCCUGAGAGGGUGGCCGGCCACAUUGGGACUGAGAUACGGCCCAGACGCCUACGGGAGGCAGCAGUGGGGAAUAUUGCACAAUGGGCGGAAGCCUGAGGCAGCAACGCCGCGUGCGGGAUGACGGUCUUCGGGUUGUAAACCGCUUUCGCCUGUGACGAAGCGUGAGUGACGGUAAUGGGUAAAGAAGCACCGGCUAACUACGUG
rnacentral:rRNA from 1 species